GGAUAGUCAAAUAUGGUGUCUUGUAAUAAAUAUAUAAGGUAGUAGUAAGCAGUGACCUCAUGUGUUGUACUUGAGCCUAUAAAUAAGGCAGCAUAGUUUGUAGGUAAAAAUAUAGAACACACACUGAGAAAAACUACAACAGCAGUUGUAGAGAGAAAUUAUAUGAGCUGAAGCUCUUGAGAGAAAAGUAAGGCUGAAGCCUAGUGUGUAGCAAAAUUAUAAGUAUUGUAGC
rnacentral:lncRNA from 1 species